GAGUUCGCGAUGAUUAUAAAAAUAAUUUUUUGUUUUGAUUUGCUUAAUUCAAUUUAGGCAUGACAGACCUCUUACACUCAUAGAAUCUGAGCUAC
rnacentral:snoRNA from 1 species